rnacentral:rRNA from 1 species
AGAGUUUGACCCUGGCUCAGAUUGAACGCUGGCGGUAUGCUUAACACAUGCAAGUCGAACGGCAGCGAAGAGAGCUUGCUCUCUGUCGGCGAGUGGCGAACGGGUGAGUAACGCGUAGGAAUCUGCCCAAUAGUAGGGGACAACCCGGGGAAACCCGGGCUAAUACCGUAUACUCCUUACGAGGGAAAGUCGGGGAUCUUCGGACCUGACGCUAUUGGAUGAGCCUGCGUCUGAUUAGCUAGUUGGUGGGGUAAUGGCCUACCAAGGCGACGAUCAGUAGCUGGUCUGAGAGGAUGAUCAGCCACACUGGGACUGAGACACGGCCCAGACUCCUACGGGAGGCAGCAGUGGGGAAUAUUGGACAAUGGGGGCAACCCUGAUCCAGCAAUACCGCGUGUGUGAAGAAGGCCUUAGGGUUGUAAAGCACUUUCAGUAGGGAAGAAAAGCAUUGGGUUAAUACCCUAGUG